rnacentral:lncRNA from 10 species
CUGAAGAGCUGGUCUCACUCCCACUGUGCCACCUCCAACAGCACAGAGUCUGUUUCCAGGCAGCAGGCAAGCAGGGCUUGAGAACUUUCCCCAGGCUACCCGCCUCCCAGCUGUGAAAGAAAAGGACUUUAGUUCUUCCCCCACCUGUGGAAUCUGCUGGCUGGAUUCAUGCCCUCCAGCAAGUUCUGGCCAGGAGGCUUCUCACCUGGUUCAAAUUGUUACAAAGUUCAGCUGGAGACUUCCUUCUCCCUGUGGCAUUUUCCCCAUACCUCUGGACACCCUCCUGAAGGAUCCCUGUGGUGCCAGGCAUGAAUGGCCUGCUUGGGGACCCAAUGAGUUCCCAGGACCCUUCCUGCUGCUUCUUCUACCCUUGUAUUUUGCUUGGCUGUCUAAAUUGACUCAGCUCCAGGAUCCCUUCGUUUGAGGUAGGAUAUGGAAUCGCAUCCACUCUGAUUUGUUGCCAGCAGUGUUCUCCAACUUAAUUAUCCUCUGUGAUCCACACUAAAGUAUUUUGAAGAAUAACAAAGCUCUCCAAGGGUCUUAAUACAGGUUUGUGGCAACCCUGCAUAAAGCCAAGUCUAUCGGUGCCAUUUUUCCAACAGCAUAUGUUUACUUUCUGUUUCUGUGUCAUGUUUUG